rfam:Schistosoma haematobium scaffold998_53, whole genome shotgun sequence.
GCACUGCUGAGGAGUCCAACACCGGGACGAAAUGGCCGUCCAGUGC